GUAUAGCAAUAUAUACAGUGAAACUGCGAAUGGCUCAUUAAAUCAGUUAUCGUUUAUUUGAUAGUACCUUACUACUUGGAUAACCGUGGUAAUUCUAGAGCUAAUACAUGCUAAAAACCUCGACUUCGGAAGAGGUGUAUUUAUUAGAUAAAAAACCAAUGCCCUUCGGGGCUCCUUGGUGAUUCAUGAUAACUUAACGAAUCGCAUGGCCUUGUGCCGGCGAUGGUUCAUUCAAAUUUCUGCCCUAUCAACUUUCGAUGGUAGGAUAGUGGCCUACCAUGGUUUCAACGGGUAACGGGGAAUUAGGGUUCUAUUCCGGAGAGGGAGCCUGAGAAACGGCUACCACAUCCAAGGAAGGCAGCAGGCGCGCAAAUUACCCAAUCCCGACACGGGGAGGUAGUGACAAUAAAUACUGAUACAGGGCUCUUUUGGGUCUUGUAAUUGGAAUGAGUACAAUUUAAAUCCCUUAACGAGAACAAUUGGAGGGCAAGUCUGGGUGCCAGCAGCCGCGGUAAUUCAGCUCCAAUAGCGUAUAUUAAAGUUGUUGCAGUUAAAAAGCUCGUAGUUGAACCUUGGGCCUGGCUGGCCGGUCCGCCUCACCGCGUGCACUGGUCCGGCCGGGUCUUUCCUUCUGGGGAGCCGCAUGCCCUUCACUGGUGUGUGUCGGGGAACCAGGACUUUUACUUUGAAAAAAUUAGAGUGUUCAAAGCAGGCCUAUGCUCGAAUACAUUAGCAUGGAAUAAUAGAAUAGGACGUGUGGUUCUAUUUUGUUGGUUUCUAGGACCGCCGUAAUGAUUAAUAGGGAUAGUCGGGGGCAUCAGUAUUCAAUUGUCAGAGGUGAAAUUCUUGGAUUUAUUGAAGACUAACUACUGCGAAAGCAUUUGCCAAGGAUGUUUUCAUUAAUCAGUGAACGAAAGUUAGGGGAUCGAAGACGAUCAGAUACCGUCGUAGUCUUAACCAUAAACUAUGCCGACUAGGGAUCGGGCGAUGUUAUCUUUUUGACUCGCUCGGCACCUUACGAGAAAUCAAAGUUUUUGGGUUCUGGGGGGAGUAUGGUCGCAAGGCUGAAACUUAACGAACGAGACCCGCUACUACCGAUUGAAUGGCUAAGUGAGGCU
rnacentral:rRNA from 1 species